AACGAACGCUGGCGGCAUGCCUAACACAUGCAAGUCGAACGAGACCUUCGGGUCUAGUGGCGCACGGGUGCGUAGCGCGUGGGAACCUGCCCUUAGGUUCGGAAUAACUCCCCGAAAGGGGUGCUAAUACCGGAUAAUGUCUUCGGACCAAAGAUUUAUCGCCUUUGGAUGGGCCCGCGUUGGAUUAGCUAGUUGGUAGGGUAAAAGCCUACCAAGGCGACGAUCCAUAGCUGGUCUGAGAGGAUGAUCAGCCACACUGGGACUGAGACACGGCCCAGACUACUACGGGAAGCAGCAGUGGGAAAUAUUGGACAAUGGGCGAAAGCCUGAUCCAGCAAUGCCGCGUGAGUGAUGAAGGCCUUAGGGUUGUAAAGCUCUUUUACCCGGGAUGAUAAUGACAGUACCGGGAGAAUAAGCUCCGGCUAACUCCGUG
rnacentral:rRNA from 1 species